rnacentral:tRNA from 1 species
AGUUACUGGCCUGGGGGCAGGUUUCGUCUUGAAAAUGAAACAGAAGUGUUCGAAUCACUUAGUAGCUU